UGGGCAACCUGCCCCAGACACAGGGAUAACCCCGGGAAACCGAGGCUAAUACCGGAUACUCCGGUCGAACCGCAUGGCUCGAUCGGGAAAGCUCCGACGGUUUGGGAUGGGCCCGCGGCCUAUCAGCUAGUUGGUGUGGGUAACGGCCCACCAAGGCGACGACGGGUAGCCGGCCUGAGAGGGUGACCGGCCACACUGGGACUGAGACACGGCCCAGACCCCUACGGGAG
rnacentral:rRNA from 1 species